CUGCGCAAGAGGUCGCUGUUGCUGAAGACACGUUUUCCCGGCCGGUGUGACGCUAUAGUGGUUUCGGCCAAUGAGCUGAGAACAGCCUAAGUUUGAACAGACGCGGCAGUUGAAGCAGCGAUGCUAAAAACACAGAAAUAUUCUAACUACUAAAAUAAUAUCUGAGGUGGAACAACUAGUUAUUUCGUCCCGAAACCAUAAGAAGAACGUCUCUAACAAAGAGCCAUGUCUACUAGAGGUCAGCAGCCUCUGAUGAGAUCCGACAGAACUCCACUGCGAGAUGUGCAGAAUGAAGUAUUGGCUUUACACCAGCAGAAAACGGCAGGUGUCAAAGCUGCAUCGUUAGGUCACAAGAACCCUGCACAAGAGGUUGAAAACGUGGGCCCUUUCUGUGGUCCAAAAGCUGAUUGCACCUUCAUCACCAGCAUUUCUUCAGACAGAAGUGAAGAAGGUGCAGACGGCAUGAAUGACCACU